GAUGAACGCUAGCGGCAGGCCUAAUACAUGCAAGUCGGACGGGAUUCGGGAGCUUGCUCCUGAUGAGAGUGGCGCACGGGUGCGUAACACGUAUGCAACCUACCUUUACCAGGGGGAUAGCCUCUCGAAAGAGAGAUUAACACCGCAUAAAAUUAGUUUAUGGCAUCAUAAAUUGAUCAAAUAUUUAUAGGGUAAAGAUGGGCAUGCGGAACAUUAGCUAGUUGGUAAGGUAACGGCUUACCAAGGCGACGAUGUUUAGGGGAUCUGAGAGGAUGACCCCCCACACUGGUACUGAGACACGGACCAGACUCCUACGGGAGGCAGCAGUAAGGAAUAUUGGUCAAUGGGCGCAAGCCUGAACCAGCCAUGCCGCGUGCAGGAAGACGGCCCUACGGGUUGUAAACUGCUUUUGUACGGGAAUAAACCCUGAUACGUGUAUCAGGCUGAAUGUACCGUAAGAAUAAGGAUCGGCUAACUCCGUGCCAGCCGCCGCGGUAA
rnacentral:rRNA from 1 species